rnacentral:rRNA from 1 species
UACGUAGGGGGCUAGCGUUGUCCGGAAUCAUUGGGCGUAAAGCGCGUGUAGGCGGUUCGGUAAGUCCGCUGUGAAAGUCGGGGGCUCAACCCUCGAAUGCCGGUGGAUACUGUCGGACUAGAGUACGGAAGAGGCGAGUGGAGUUCCUGGUGUAGCGGUGAAAUGCGCAGAUAUCAGGAGGAACACCAAUUGCGAAGGCAGCUCGCUGGGACGUUACUGACGCUGAGACGCGAAAGCGUGGGGAGCAAACAGG